rnacentral:rRNA from 1 species
AAUCAACGCUGGCGGCGUGCCUCAGACAUGCAAGUCGAACGAUUAAAGCUCUCUUCGGAGAGUGCAUAAAGUGGCGCACGGGUGAGUAACACGUAAGUAAUCUACCUUCGAGUGGGGAAUAACGUCCGGAAACGGACGCUAAUACCGCAUAAUGCAGCGGCAUCGCAAGAUGACAGUUGUUAAAGAUUUAUCGCUUGAAGAGGAGCUUGCGGCAGAUUAGCUAGUUGGUAAGGUAAUGGCUUACCAAGGCUACGAUCUGUAACCGGUCUAAGAGGACGGUCGGUCACACUGACACUGAAUAACGGGUCAGACUCCUACGGGAGCAGCAGUCGGGAAUUUUGGGCAAUGGGCGAAAGCCUGACCCAGCAACGCCGCGUGAAGGAUGAAGUAUUUCGGUAUGUAAACUUCGAAAGAAUGGGAAGAAUAAUGACGGUACCAUUUAUAAGGUCCGGCUAACUACGUGGCAGCCGCCGC